CUUACCUGUUCCUGCCUACCUUGUGUUCUAGGACUUUUAUUGGAAAAGCCACAUAGAGGUCAAACUCUGUCUAGCUAUCCGUCUAUAAAGAAAUCCAGACAGCGUAAUGCAGCAUUUUAUGAACAACAAGUGGAUCUUCUGGGAAUGACAGAAUCCUCCCUACGAAUUAGAAGCAUGGAAGGAUUCGUUACACUUUAACAUGUUUCUUCAGUGACAUGUGCGACCUUGACUUUUAAUUAUUCAAGAGUGGCAAGUAUGGAACCUAAAGUGGAUUGUUGACACAAGAUGCCUGGAAAUAAGGAGGAGGUUCCAUAUGAAUAUAACUUCUUGCCUAAGUUGGUUUAGGUAAGAAGACUCUUCAUGUGCCUGUUUCCUUCAAAUUUUAAGGAGAGCUCUUGCAUGGUGGUAGAACCGAGGACAGCCUAGACCUUCUGAUUGUCAACUCCUUGUUCCAUUGUGUCCAAACCUACAUGUCUGAACUCCUCUCAUCAAAGACUUCUCAAAGUUAUUAAUAACUGGGGAUCACGUAUUCAGUAAUUACACACAUCAGGCUCCAUGCUUUCUGUGCAGUAUGUAAAUUGAUUCAUUGUCAUACUAAUUAUAAAUGGCUAGUAUUAUUGCUGCUUUACAAAUGAGGCAUAUGACACACAGGGAGCUAAAUAAUUUGCCUAAGGUCACCCCACUUGUAAAUGAUGAAGCCAGGACUCAAGGCCAGGUCUGGCCACCCCUGAAUUUAAUAGCUUUAUCCUCUAUAUCUCUGUUUUCUCCCAGACCAAGGUGUCUGUACCUCUCUGCCAACAGAGAAAAGGGUUCAUUCAUUCAUCAAAUGUUUGUUGAGCAUCUAUUGUGACUCAGGCAAUAUCCUAGAUCAAGGAUUGUCAAACUUUUUCUAUAAAGGACAAGAGAGCAAACAUUUUAGGUCUCCUGGGUCAUACGGUCAGUCACUGUGAUUCAACUCUGCUGUUGUAGUACAAGAUUGUGAAAGCAGCCAUAGAUGAUAUGUCAAUGAAUGAGCAUGGUUGUGUUCCAAUAAAAUGUCACUUGCGAAAGCAGGCUGUGGGCUGGGUUUGGGCCAAGAGUUCUAUCCCUGCUCUAGGCACUGGAGUUACAAUAGCAAAAAAUUAAAAUAAAGUAAAAUAAAAACACAAAAAUGCCUGCCUUUGUGGUGCUUCCAUUCCAGAAUGGGGAAGUAAUUGUAUUUCUGUCCCGUUUAUCAUGUAAAAAUUGUCAUAGGAUCUUGGAGUUGCUGAGCACCUAGAGGUGAUCUGUUCAGCAUUUUCCUCCCAGGGCAGCUCUCCACUCAGAACUCUCUUGGCUGGUGAGGGUUCAUUCUGUGUGCCCGGAUCUAGUGUCACCUCACCUUCCAGGGGACCCAUCCUUGUCACAUAGUCCUUGCUUAUCUGUCUUCCUGACAAUUUAACUCACAUCCUACCCUGUUUGGGCAGAGGGCCCCACAUUUUAGCAUAUCAUAAUCACUUUUGGGGCUUGAAACACUUUGAUGGGCUCCACUCUCGAGAUUCUGAUUCAAUAGGUCUGGAGUGAGGCCCAAGAUUUUCCCUUUCUGACAAAUUCCCAGGUAAUUCC
rnacentral:lncRNA from 10 species